UGGGGAAUUUUGCACAAUGGGGGAAACCCUGAUGCAGCGACGCCGCGUGAUUUAGAAGGCCUUCGGGUUGUAAAAAUCUUUUCUAUGGGAAGAAAAUGACAGUACCAUAGGAAUAAGGACCGGCUAAUUACGUGCCAGCAGCCGCGGUAAUACGUAAGGUCCGAGCGUUGUCCGGAAUCAUUGGGCGUAAAGGGUACGUAGGCGGGUAAGCAAGUUAGAAGUGAAAUCCUAUAGCUCAACUAUAGUAAGCUUUUAAAACUGCUCAUCUUGAGGGAUGGAAGGGAAAGUGGAAUUCCUAGUGUAGCGGUGAGAUGCGCAGAUAUUAGGAGGAAUACAGGUGGCGACGGCGACUUUCUGGCCAGAACCUGACGCUGAGAUACGUAAGCGUGGGUAGCAAACAGG
rnacentral:rRNA from 1 species